GAGGUUGUCAUUUAUAUAGUGUUGUUACUGGACAGUCAGCAAAACUGGCAGCUUGAUUUGGUCAUGUAAUUCUGCUUGGUUUAUGGUAAUGUAACUCUGUCCUAGUGGAAAAUAGAAUGACAGCAAGUUGCCAUUCAUUUUUUUGGCUUGCUAUAAGAUGCAAGGUUUUUAGUUGUUAUUACCAUUUACUUCAUCUAAAAACAAUUUUCUACACGAAUCUUCAUCAUAUUGAGAUGUUUUCAUGUUAAAGAAAUAGCAUACUCAUAGACUUUUGGAUUAUGUACUUUCAUGGUUUAAACAGUUUUACAAUCCAUACUUUAUGUAGGCUGUAUGUUGUUUAAAUGUAGGUUUUCUUAUGUGAACUUGCUUAUUUGCAGUGUUUAAUUUGAUGUCAAGUCUUAUUUCAAUGUUGCAUCUUUAAAAUUAAUGGAACUUGGCACAGAAGAGUAACUUGGUUUGGAUGUGGAGAAGCAGUCAGCUGUCACUGGUUUUCAGUUUCAGGAGUGACAGCAAAUCCAACAAAAGCUGAUGACUCAAAGCUUUUACUUUUAAAAAAAGUUAUAUACAACUUGCUUUUUGGGGUAACCACUUGAUCACCUGAUGUCAUACACAAUAAUGACCUUUCCUGUGUUCAGCAUGUUUCAGCAUUUGUUUUUUUGGACAAACCAUUUCCUCUUCAAAGUCACAUAAAGUCACAUAACAGUGUUUGCAUAUAAUGUCAACUUUUCGCACAUAUUAGUUUAAAUCUUUUACAUAAUCACGAAAAGCUUGCUGUAUGUAAUUAUUUAGUUCAGUCUCAGGCAUAUGAGAAGAGAUUUUCUUCUUGACUAAUUUGAAAAGUUUGGCUAGCAGGACCAUUAAAACCUGCCAGAUUUUUUAUUGGACAAUUAAAGCUCAGUGGUCACUGCAAUACUAAUCAUGUUUCAUAGUGAUAUUAUGACUCUCAAAGUUAUAAACAGCAUGUUCUUAUAUGGAGAAAACAUUAAAUAUAGCACAGUGAGUUAUUCUGUUAGUAUUGGGGGGCAGUUGGGAUCUAAUGGUUGGAGUGUAACCCACGGUCACGGGUUUGAGUUUCGGUACCGGCAGGGAUUGUAGGUGGGGGGAGUGAAUGACCAGUGCUCUCUUCCACCCUCAAUACCACGACUGAGGUGAGACCCUUGAGCAAGAACCGAACAUUCAAUGACUCCCCAGGGUUAGAGCACUCAUUCAGGCCACAGUGAAGACUUACCUGACCUAUCAUCACUCCACCAAUAUCUCUCUCAUCACGGCUCUUGGCUCUCAGCUUGUUGACCUGGGACUCAGCGAUAUCAGCGCGCUCUUGAGCCUCCUCCAGCUCGUGCUGCACCUUCCUGUACCUGGACAGGUGAGUGUUGGCCUGCUCCUCCUGUUAGGAUGACACAAGA